CGUCAGGUCUUCCCAGUAUGAAAAUGUGAUGCAAGGGCUUUUGCCAUUGACAGCCAUCAGUAUCAUUAAGCCCUGCACAACUGCCGUGCUGUUUCUCAUUUAACAACAGGAAUAAAUGAUGCUCAAC